GAUGAACGCUGGCGGCGUGCCUAAUACAUGCAAGUCGAGCGAACGGACGAGAAGCUUGCUUCGCUGAUGUUAGCGGAGGGCGGGUGAGUAACACGUGUAUAACCUACCUAUAAGACUGGGAUAAUUUCGGGAAACCGGCGCUAAUCCGGGAUGAUAUUUUGCACCGCAGGGUUCAAUAGUAAAAUACGGUGGUGCUGUCACUUCUAGCUGGUUCCGGGCUGCAUUAGCUAGUUGGUAAGGUAACGGGUUACCAAGGCAACGAUGCAUAGGCGACCGGAGAGGGUGGUAGGCGACACUGGAACUGAGACGCGGACCAGAGGCCUACGGGAGGGCGCAGUAUGGAAUGGUCCGCAAUGGGCGAGAGCCUUACGGAGCAAGGGGGCGUGAGUGAUGAAGAUCCUCGGAGCGUGAAGCUCUGUUAUGAGGGGUGAACAGAUGUGUAAGUAACUGUGCAGAUCGUGACGGUACCGGAUCAAAAAGCAACGGCUAACUACGUG
rnacentral:rRNA from 1 species